UACGUAGGGUGCGAGCGUUUGUCCGGAAUUAUUGGGCGUAAAGAGCUCGUAGGCGGUGUGUCACGUCGGCCGUGAAAACCUGGGGGCUUAACUCUGGGCGUGCGGUCGAUACGGGCAUCACUAGAGUUCGGCAGGGGAGACUGGAAUUCCUGGUGUAGCGGUGAAAUGCGCAGAUAUCAGGAGGAACACCGGUGGCGAAGGCGGGUCUCUGGGCCGAUGACUGACGCUGAGGAGCGAAAGCGUGGGGAGCGAA
rnacentral:rRNA from 1 species